rnacentral:rRNA from 1 species
CUAGUUGUACGAGUUGAGACUCGUAGCGGAAGCUCAGUAACACGUGGUCAAGCUACCCUGUAGCGACGGAUAACCUCGGGAAACUGAGGCUAAUACGUCAUAACGCUCGAGAUCUGGAGUGAUUCGAGCCGGAAACGCCUUUGGUGCUACAGGAUGCGACUGCGGUCGAUUAGGUAGACGGUGGGGUAACGGCCCACCGUGCCCAUAAUCGGUACGGGUUGUGAGAGCAAGAGCCCGGAGACGGUAUCUGAGACAAGAUACCGGGCCCUACGGGGCGCAGCAGGCGCGAAACCUUUACACUGUACGGAAGUGCGAUAGGGGGACUCCGAGUGUGUGGGCAUAGAGCUCACACUUUUGUAGACCGUAAGGUGGUCUACGAAUAAGAGCUGGGCAAGACCGGUGCCAGCCGCCGCGGUAAUACCGGCAGCUCGAGUGAUGACCGAUUUUAUUGGGCCUAAAGCGUCCGUAGCUGGCCAGGCAAGUCCGUUGGGAAAUCCACCUGCUCAACAGGUGGGCGUCCAGCGGAAACUGCUUGGCUUGAGACCGGAAGAUCCAAGGGGUACGUCCGGGGUAAGAGUGAAAUCCUGUAAUCCUGGACGGACCGCCUAUGGCGAAAGCACCUUGGAAGGACGGAUCCGACAGUGAGGGACGAAAGCUAGGGUCUCGAACCGGAUUAUAUACCCGGGUAGUCCUAGCUGUAAACGUGUCCGCUAGGUGUGGCACACGCUACGAGCCUGUGCUGUGCCAGUAGGGAACGCUGAGAAGCAGCACCGCCUGAGAAGUACGUCUGCGAUG